UGACAGGGCCCAUGUGUCAGGGGCUUAUCAUGUAAGAAUGCCCAUGGCCAGCUGCAGGUGGAGACCCUCAUGUAGCGACAGCAUGUGCCAGGAAUCCACCAUGAGAGCCCUUAUCAGCCACAGUACCCCCUAACACUCUGGGGCAGGAUUUUUUUUUUUUUUUUUUUGAGACAGAGUCUUGCUCUGUAGCCCAGGCUGGAGUGCAGUGGCAUGAUCUCGGCUCACUGCAACCUCACCUCUCAGGUCCAAGUGAUUCUCCCACCUCAGCCUCCCAGAUAGCUGGGACUACAGGUGCACAUCACCAUGCCCAGGUAAUUUUUUUGUAUUCUUAGUAGAGACAGUAUUUCACCAUGUUGGCCAGGCUGGUCUCAAACUCCUGACUUCAGGUAAUUUCCCCUGCCGCAGCCUCCCAAAGUUUUGGAAUUACAGGCAUGAGCCACUGCGCCCUGCCCGUGGUAGGAUUUCUGCUGUGAGCACUUAGAGGGUUGGGCCUAAGAGCCUGAGGAACCCAGGUGGGAGGCCCAGAGGAGGAAGGGGGCAUCCAGGGCCAGCUCUCCCCAGUUCUCCAUGGGCUGGUUCCUGCCCCAGGCUCUGCAGAACAGUGCUCGACACCACGAGGAACCCAUCAGGCAGUGACACUGGAAGAGACCUGGUCCCUGAUGCCUCCAGGAACCUGAGCACCUGAUCUCCCUCCGCCCCCUCCUGAGAAGCCCACAAGCAGCCCACCUCCUUCCCUAUCUGUUCGCAGCAUCUCAUGCUGGAAACACCUGCUGUUCUUGUCUUCCAGAGCCCUCACCACAUCCAGAUGGAGUCUCGCUCUGUUGCCCAGGCUGGAGUGAAUUUGCAUGAUCUUGGCUCACUACAACCUCUGCCCCCCAGGUUCAAGCAAUUCUCCUGCCUCAGCUUCCCAAGUAGAUGGGAUUACAUGGGGCCCACCACCAUAUCUGACUACUUCUUGUGUUUUUAGUAGAGACGGUGUUUCACCAUGUUGGUCAUACAGCUCUCAAACUCCUGAUCUCAGGUGAGCCACCUGACUCAGCCUCCCAAAGUGCUAGGAUUACAGGCAUGAGCCACCAUACCCAGCCUCACUUAGAUUUCAAUAAACACAUAUGCCACUGGCUGCCAUAUGGGAGACUCAGUUCUAUACCCUUUUAUAGGUUUUGAACUUUGAAUCAUUUAAAUGAAUCACCUAUUUUUUAAAUUGUAGAAUUUAAUAGAAUAGUGUUUAGAUAGAAUUAAUCUAAAUGAAAUCUACAAUAGAAUUUAAAUUGUACCAGUGCAUACUUUGUUGUUUUCUUUUUUUUUUUUUACUCUUGAAAUACAGAAUUUUAUUUAGAAACUGUUUAAAGUAGAAAAAACCCUGUCAAGAAAGACCAGGUGGAAAAUGGGUUCCCAAUAAAAUGGAAUUUUAGGGCAAUGAAAGUCUAAAAGGCCACACAAGAGAAAUAGCGCCACUGUCAUUUGAACAAUGGCUGGUUACUUGCAUUUUUUUGGCAUUGUUAAUCACUGAAUCUGGGUUUUCCUCUGAAUUCCACACAGAGCAUGCACUACACAACAAUUUUAUCAUAAAGCACUUGCUUUCUACACACAUUUUAGGACAAGCUACCACCAGAAACAAAUCAAUACAAAUACAUCAGGGGCUGAACAGUCUCAGUAGUGGGUGAGACACAUUUUGCAGAAUCCUGCCAAAAAAGGAACUGAAUAGGGUGUGGGCAAAGCAAAUCAGGGAGAGCUAAGGAAUGAAAUAUUUUAAAUAUUAAUAAUUAAUUCAGACACGGUACUGUAUUUUCUGCAAAAGAAAAUGAACAUUUAGUAACACACUAAUGAAUUUUAUCUUCAAAGAGAUUAGUGCACUGGCAAAGUAUUCGGAUUACAGCGGAGAGCUAUGGACAGCAGAUACCGAAAACACCCCAGCCUUGCAGAUCCCAAGGUAACGACGGCCUUCACCGACCACUCGCUUCGCCAGAGGUCCAAAAGAACUUGCAGCAUGAUCGCCUGUCUGCUGCAUUUCCAACUCUAAGCAGCCAGCUUCAAGGAGCCAAAGAGGAGUCCCCAAUGGCAAGGGGACCAGAGAAGAGAAACAUGGUAAAUGUAAACCCAAAAGACAGUAAAAUGGGAUACAAUCGCCAUUGAAAUCCCAGAGAUGUGGACAAGUCCCAAAAAGUAGUUGUUAGAUUAAACAACUGGGCACACCUCACUUCCCCAAAAACAUAAUACAUAGAAAUUUCAGGGACAACUGGAAAAAUGGAGAAAUGCUCAAUGAAAACCGAGCUCUUCAACUCAAACAUCUCAGGGCUGAAACACAUCCUCUAUUAUUCAGGCAACGAUGCCUCUUGCCUUUUAGCAAGGAUGCAACUGGUCAAUGACACCAAAUGGCUUUACAGGGCGACUUUUUAAAUGUUCCUUUUAGACCAAAGCCUAGGCCUGUGAGGAUUCAAACAGCCCUGUAAGACCUGUGACAGCAGGUUCCAAAGGGUCCAAGGUCUGACCCUUCCUUCCCAGACACAAUGUCAAAUGCAAAAUCUCCUGUCAUGUACAUUUUAUAUUUUGAAAUAUGGAAGCAUAUUUUAAAUACUCUAAAGGCAUUUAUUUAUUACAACAUUCUCUGAUUUCACAUUAGCUUAAAAUUCAAUUCAGUCUUUACAUUACUCCACUGAGGUCGCCGCCUCAGCAUAUAACAUAACACCUCCUGCAGCACUCAGUGUGACCCGCUUCCGCACAGUGAGCCCCACAGUCAGCCUCUUUGUUUCCCAGGUGAACCAACUAGAUGUUAAUACUGCUCUGCUAUAAGGUAAAAGCUCCUAACUCAAACUUACUGGAAAAGGAGUGAAACGUCUGCAAAGUGCACUUUAAGAAGAGGUACUUUUUGCUUAUGAAAAGAAACCAGUGAGUCCUCUAAGGAUAAUAAAAGGGAGUAUUUUACAGUUAAGCACAUGAUUUGGAGUGAAGAAUUCGGAUGCUGCUCUGCUGGUCCAGGCUGUCAAUACUCUUCCUGCUCCUCCUGUGGGCCCCCUUCAUCAGGUAUCACAAAGCCUUCAUCUGUGGCAUACAGAAUGUCUACAAUCCUCUGCAAUACAGGGUCGUUUUCCCCCUCAUUCUCCUGGCAAAUCAAUUCAAUGUUCCGUAGCUUUCCGAAGUAGAAGUCCCUCUCUUUCUCCAAGUCUUCAACAGUAAGUUUCAAUAUGUUGACCUGCUGCAUCAACUCAGCUGCCUUGUCUCCCCAUUGCCCACACCAGGGUUCUUUCGCACCACACCAGGGCCAGCCUUAGGAGCUGCAGCAGUUCUCUGUGUUGAGAUGGGCCUCUGGGGAGCUGCCCUACUAGAACUGAGAGGUUUAUUUGGUUUAUUCAGAGCUGGAGCAACGAGGGAGGAACCACUGCAGUUUCUUGACUUUGUCUGGCAGCCACAGGGUCAUAGUCUUUUCCAUCAUAGUUUGCAUCAAAAAACUACUUGAACCACUGAACAAAUUCAAAAUUGUCCUGAAACUUUCCUUUUACUAAUUUGUCCACAGGAAUUAUUUUGUCAACACCCAUCCUCUUAAAACCCGCUUGUAGUAUUUUGAAGUUCUAGAUGUACUCGUGUUCUAGGUUAGCUUGGAAUUUCACUUUCUUCAAGGCAAUGGAGCCAGGAAACAGCAUGUCCAUAAACUGACAAUAGGCAGCCCCUGAGCACAACUGUUCAAUCUUUGUCAGAUUCAACUGCAGAGACUCAUUGAUCCAGGCCAGCAUGUCAUGUCGACU
ensembl:lncRNA